rnacentral:rRNA from 1 species
UACGUAGGCAGCGAGCGUUGUUCGGAGUUACUGGGCGUAAAGGGUGUGUAGGCGGUUUUCUAAGUUUGGUGUGAAAUCUCCCGGCUCAACCGGGAGGGUGCGCCGAAAACUGGGAGACUAGAGUGCGGGAUGGGAGAGUAGAAUUCCUGGUGUAGCGGUGAAAUGCGUAGAUAUCAGGAGGAACACCGAUAGCGAAGGCAGCUCGCUGGGACGGUACUGACGCUGAGGCGCGAAAGCGUGGGGAGCGAACAGG